CCUACGGGAGGCAGCAGUGGGGGAUAUUGCACAAUGGGGGGUACCCUGAUGCAGCGACGCAGCGUGGGUGAAGAAGCGCCUCGGCGCGUAAAGCCCUGUCAGCAGGGAAGAAAAUGACGGUACCUGAAGAAGAAGCCCCGGCUAACUACGUGCCAGCAGCCGCGGUACUACGUAGGGGGCAAGCGUUAUCCGGAUUUACUGGGUGUAAAGGGGGCGCAGUCGGCGAUGCAAGCCAGGAGUGAAAGCCCGGGGCCCAACCCCGGGACUGCACUUGAAACUGCGUGGCUGGAGUGCAGGAGGGGCAGGCGGAAUUGCUGGUGUAGCGGUGAAAUGCGUAGAUAUCAGGAGGAACACCGGUGGCGAAGGCGGCCUGCUGGACUGCAACUGACGUUGAGGCCCGAAAGCGUGGGGAGCAAACAGGAUUAGAUACCCCGGUAGUC
rnacentral:rRNA from 1 species